AUGGGUGCAACUGCAGCCUGCUGCGUCCUGCUCAUUCUAGCCGCCACGGCUGCCUCCUCUGUGUACGCACAACAAGCCGGCGGUGGGUGCUUCGCAGGUGAGAGGGAUGCGCUGCUCUCAUUUCGAGCCGGCAUCGGAAAAGAUCCCCAGGGCCUCCUCGCCUCGUGGAGUGGCCAGGAUUGCUGCCUCUGGAAUGGCGUCAGGUGCAGCAACACAACAGGCCAUGUUGUCGAGCUCGGCCUCCGCAACAGUUUCUUCUUGGAUGAUCAGUUCGCUCCCGUGUUCUCCAACAACUCUCAUGGAAUGCGUGGAGAGAUAAGUUCUUCCUUGCUUGUUCUGCGUCAUUUGGAGCACCUAGAUCUCAGUGGGAACUAUCUCGGGGGAAUAGGCGUGCCCAUACCAAGAUUCUUGGGCUCUCUCCCGAGCUUGGUAUAUCUCAACCUCUCCUCCAUGGAUUUCGACGGGAAGGUGCCCCCUCAACUCGGCAACCUCUCCAGGUUACUAUAUCUUGACCUCAACAACAUCUGGAAUCCUAAUGAGUUUUAUGGUGAUGAUAAUAUAUUGCAUGCCGAGGAUAUAUCGUGGUUACCACGUCUCCCUUUGCUAAGGUUUCUCGACAUGAGUGGUGUGAAUCUCACCGCUGUUGGCAACUGGGUUCAAGUGCUUAGCAUGCUUUCUAAUUUGAGAGCACUUCGCCUUUCUGAAUGCCAUCUUGUCUUUCCACACACACCUAUUCUGCAUCCUAACCUAACAUCACUUGAGAUGCUUGAUUUAACAGCGAGUGGGAUUGACACCUUGAACCCAACCUACUGGUUCUGGGAUGUUGGCACCAUCAGGCAUCUUGAUCUCACAAAUAACAUAAUUUCUGAACCUUUUCUGGAUGCAAUGGGAAAUAUGACUUCCCUUGAGGUUCUGAAACUUGGAGGCAAUUACCUCACAGGUGUAAGAACCGAAAUCCUGAACAACCUGUGCAAUUUGAGAGUGCUAACACUGUGGUCAAAUCCGAUCAACCAAGACAUUUCAGAAGUUUUGAAGGGGUUGCCUCAGUGCGCAUGGAGUAAGAUAGAGUUGCUAGAUCUAUCUUGUACCAAUAUCAGUGGGGAAAUUCCAAAGUGGAUUAACCAAUGGACUAAUUUGAGCAUUCUUCAACUAUCUUCAAAUAGGCUUGUAGGAUCAAUAUCUACUGAAAUUGGUAUGCUCAGCAAACUCAACCAGUUGUAUCUCGAUGGUAAUCAGUUAAAUGGCUCUAUAUCGGAGGAACAUUUCACCAGUUCAGUGAAUUUGGAGGAACUGGACUUGUCUUACAACUCCCUACACAUGACAAUCAGCUCACACUGGAAUCCGCCCUUUAAACUGCAUCUGGCUUAUUUCCCUCGUAGCAAAGCUGGACCUCGGUUUCCUUUGUGGCUUAAAGGGCAGAUCAGCAUUACUAAUCUUGACAUUUCUGAUGCAAACAUAGUUGAUUAUCUCCCGGAUUGGUUUUGGACUGUAUUUUCAAAUGUUCAAUAUUUGAACAUCUCUUGUAAUCAGAUCAGUGGCAGGUUACCAAGGACACUUGAAUUUAUGCCUUCUGCUCUAAUAUUUGACCUCAACUCCAAUAACCUCACUGGUACUCUACCGCACCUACCAAGGCAUUUGAUAGAGCUUGACAUUUCCAGAAACUCUUUAUCAGGGCCACUACCGCAACAAUUUGGGGCUCCAUCCCUCAUGGAUUUAUUGCUUUCUGAGAAUAGUAUCAAUGGCACUAUACCACCAUAUAUUUGUCAGUUGCAGUUACUGCAAGUUCUGGACCUCGCAAAGAACUGUCUUGUAGGACAGUUUCCCCUCUGUCCAGAGGUAUCCGAAGGAAGAUUCAUUAAAGCUAUAAUUUUAAAUGAAAACAACCUUUCUGGUGAAUUCCCUUCAUCCUUGCAGAGCUUCCCAGAGUUGAUUCUACUUGAUCUUGCCCAUAACAAAUUUGGUGGAGAGUUGCCGACAUGGAUAGCAAAGAAAUUGCCAGAUUUGUCUUAUCUCAAGCUGCGGCAUAAUAUGUUUUCCGGUUCUAUUCCAGUUGAGCUCACACAUCUUGGAUACCUGCAAUAUCUGGACCUUGCGUAUAACAGAAUAUCAGGAUCAAUACCUCAUACAUUGGGUAACUUGAAAGCUAUGGUUGAGGAUCAGACACAAUCACAAGUUGACCCUUUAACGUGGAGUGUGGAAAGGCCAGGAAACCCUGCCACAGACUAUGAAACAAAAUAUGAUGAUAGCUUAGUAGUGGUAAUGAAAGGUCAAUACCUUGAUUACACUAGCAAUGUCUUUUAUAUGGUUGGUCUUGACUUGUCCUGCAACAAUUUAGUUGGAGAUAUUCCAGUUGAAAUAACAUCUCUUGUUAAUCUGAAGAACCUGAACAUCUCCUAUAAUGGGUUGUCCGGUAAGAUCCCAGAGAAGAUUGGCCUUCUUGGAUCAUUGGAGUCUCUUGACCUGUCAUGCAAUGAACUCUCUGGCGAAAUUCCUUCUGGCUUCUCAGACAUGACAAUGUUAAGCAAGAUGAACCUGUCAUACAAUAAUCUAUCAGGAAGAAUUCCCACCGGGAAUCAGCUCCAGACGCUCAUUGAUCCAGCAUCAUCGUACAUCGGCAACAAAUACCUCUGCGGGCUUCCUCUUUCGAGGAACUGUUCAGGGCCUAAGGUAUUUGGAGGGGAUCUUGACAAGCAUCAAGGAGAGGCGAGGUUUUUCUAUCUUGGUCUGGCUGCGGGAUUUAUCCUGGGUCUUUGGGUGGUCUUUGUUCUCUUUUUAUUUUGUAAGAGAUGCAGAGUUACUUGUUUCCAACUGUUUGACAAGCUAGUGCGUGCUAUAAAAGCAUUCAUGGCCUGA
rnacentral:rRNA from 1 species